UUUGCACUUGGGUGGUUAUUGUAUCUUUAGAAUUCAAGGGUCAUAGUUUAUUGGUAGUACUAAUUUAAAGUUAAUAUGGAGUUUGAAGAUUUUGUUCUGGUUCAUCUAAAAUAAGCACAAAUAAUUCUUUUUGCAGAUGCUGUCAUUGACCAAGCUAAUUGGGACUUGUCUAAAACAAGAUAUAAGCUCACACGUGAUAUACAUGGACAUAUUGCUGUAGUCCGUGCAUCCAAGCUGGCUGAACUUACAACACUUUAUGAGACAAAGUUGAAUGACGAAUUAUUUGGACCAGUUGGGUCUGUAUUAGCUGGAGUUAGUGAUGAUCCAUGGACA